rnacentral:rRNA from 1 species
AGAGUUUGAUCCUGGCUCAGAACGAACGCUGGCGGCGCGUCUUAAGCAUGCAAGUCGAAUGGCAAGAUAAGAGCUUGCUCUUAUCCUAGAAUGGCGGACUGGUGAGUAACGCGUGGGUGACGUACCCUUUAGACGGGGAUAGCUCCUAGAAAUAGGAGAUAAUACCGGAUAGGAUCCACAUUGUUAGAGGGUGUGGAGGAAAGGUUCUUUUGAACCGCUGAAGGAGCGGCCCGCGUACUAUUAGCUAGUUGGUGAGGUAACGGCCCACCAAGGCGAUGAUAGUUACCCGGCCUAAGAGGGUGAUCGGGCACAUUGGGACUGAGAUACGGCCCAGACUCCUACGGGAGGCAGCAGCUAAGAAUAUUCCGCAAUGGACGAAAGUCUGACGGAGCGACGCCGCGUGGAUGAUGAAGGCCGGAAGGUUGUAAAAUCCUUUUAAGUAUGAGGAAUAAGCAGUGUGAGAGAAACGCAUUGUGGUGACUGUAGUAC